AUUGAACGCUGGCGGCAUGCCUUACACAUGCAAGUCGAACGGCAGCACGGGGGCAACCCUGGUGGCGAGUGGCGAACGGGUGAGUAACGCAUCGGAAUGUACCCAGUAGUGGGGGAUAACUAGUCGAAAGAUUAGCUAAUACCGCAUACGCACUGAGGUGGAAAGCGGGGGAUCGCAAGACCUCGCGCUAUUGGAGCAGCCGAUGUCCGAUUAGGUAGUUGGUGGGGUAAAGGCCUACCAAGCCUGCGAUCGGUAACUGGUCUGAGAGGACGACCAGUCCCACUGGGACUGAGACACGGCCCAGACUCCUACGGGAGGCAGCAGUGGGGAAUUUUGGACAAUGGGCGCAAGCCUGAUCCAGCAAUGCCGCGUGUGUGAAGAAGGCCUUCGGGUUG
rnacentral:rRNA from 1 species